AUCUAGCUGGCAAGUCCCAAAUAGGACGAAACGCGCGUCCUGGAU
rfam:Schistosoma rodhaini strain Burundi genome assembly, scaffold: SROB_scaffold0000612